UGGGCGACUCUGGGACCCGGGCGACUCAAUCCCGUCCUUUCUGUCUCCGCAGGGCUGCGGGCGGCCGUGCAACUGGUCGAGUCCGGAGGGGGCCUCCAGACACCCGGGGGGUCCCUGCGCCUCCUCUGCAAGGGCUCCGGCUUCACCUUCAGCAGCAACGAGAUGGUCUGGGCGCGACAGGCGCCCGGGAAGGGGCUCGAGUGGGUCGCAACUAUUAGCAGCGAUGGUAGUAGCACACUUUACGCGCCAUCGGUCGAAGGACGCUUCACCAUCUCGAGGGACAACUCCCAGAGCACGGUCACGCUGCAGAUGAACAGCCUCAGGGCCGACGACACGGCCACCUACUACUGCGCGAAAGAAGCUGGCAGUGACACUGAUGCUCACACCGAGUCCCAGCAUCCCUGCUCUCCUUGCAGCGAGCCCAAAUCCUUCACGGUGCCCAAAUCCCCGGCUCUGGACCCAAAUCGGGGCCCUGCGCCUCCUCUGCAAGGGCUCCGGCUUCGCCUCCCGCAGCUCCGACACGCGACGGGCGCCCGGGAAGGGUCUGGAGCGGGUGGCAGAAAUCACCGGGGGUGA